CAAGUCACCAGAGCUGCAGGAGCAAGCUGCAGGAGCAAGCUGCAGGAGCAAGCUGCAAAACUGCAAAUGCAGCAACACCAUUGUAGCACUACAAGCAUAGCUAGCCACAAGCAAGGUGAACAAAUCGAGGCUUCAAAAAGAGCUGCACACUCAACAAGCCAAGAGCCAUAACGAGGUAGGGCUGCAGUCUGAAACGGAGGCCGAACUUGCCAGAGGUUGGAAGCUAAGAGCAGAGCCUGAAGUACAACUUAACACAAGCAAGCUCACUGAAGUAAACUGGAUGCAAAGAUGUGGUGAAUGGAAAGGGUUCAGAAAGAUUGUUAGUAACUGAGUUUGAUAUAGAUGCUUACAGUAGUGAAACUCAUCAUAAACAUGCGUGGUUCAACAAUGCUAUUUCGAUGGCCUGCAGGAACUGUACAAACGGCUUAUGGAGACAGGGUGUGACUCCCGCUGGAGUCAUGAGGCGGUUUCGAAGAGGAGGAAGCAACAGCAGCGACGACGCCAAAGCAGUGCGGGAGCUGUUCACACGGUACUUCGUCAACGAGGGACAAGUGAGCUGGCAGUGGUGGAUGGUUGCCUAAGAAGGCACGCUGUCAUUACAUGUGCAUGAGGACACAAGACUGUGUGGGAGAACCAGCCCCGAGUCAACAGCAAGGCACUCCUCAACAUUCCGCUACCUGCUGCCAUCACAUACUCUGGUGCCAGUCCUACGCACAUUCUUUGCCUUCUUCGUUCCAUAAAAAUUUGACUAAACAUGCCCAGUGAUUGAGCCCGACAUUGAGUUUUCUCCUUUCAAAGACCUGAGAAGCUGAACAGAAGUUCCUCCCGACAGCCAAGAAAGGCAGCAAGCUCCACCUGGUAGGCAAUAGCCGUGCACUCACACCUGGCUACUCAGCAAAGUAUGGGACAUACACAAUACUUCACGCCAGAUUCAACAAGAUCUCAUAAGUCAAGGUUCUUCACAUAAGGAGUGGCUAAAUAUAAAAUUAUGUCAUUGCAUUGCAUGGAUGAGGUGUGCAUUUUACUGAAUUUGUUCCUACCCUAAUCGACAGAAGUAAAAUAGAAUAAUCACAUGGAUACAGAAGGCAUGAAGUGUUCCCUGGACUUCAUCGUGAGCACGGGACUGUCUGUGUAUAGCUUGUGACUAAACAGCACUUUAGGGUGAAGGCCCUGAUGGACAGAUACCCUGACACCAAGCACCGGUUUGACUCAUGCCACAUCGAAGAAACUAACAAUAUUUGAGAAAUGAAUUCCAAUACCUGUUAAAUUACUCAAAGUAUAACCGAAGAUGAAAUUUGUUAAUGUAAAGGUAGUGCAACAUGCUUUGUUGUCAAGAUACAUGAGGCAUUAUUCCAACAUCAUCUUAGAGUAUACUAAAGUUGAUGAUAUUGUCCAUGCUGGACCAAAUGCGAUUUUACUAUAGCACCCUAUUUUGACCGAAUAAUAUGUCUACCUACAUUGUCUUCCAGACUUGGCACGAGCUGAGCUAGUAAUGCUUUCUAAUUUCUAGGCAUUUACAACGAGAUGGCCACUGCAGGCAAGACGAAGAACAGUGUCUUGAACACAUGGGUGAAGACCGUACAUGGGCAUGUCUGCUGGUGUGCCCAGACUAGCAAUGACAAUGGCAUGCUGGUGCUUGCAAAAUAGAUGCCCGCCAUGCAACACGUGAUCAACGUUUACCAGCACCCUAGACCCCUUACCUCCCCUUGGACCCAUACCCCAAUCAAAAAGGACUGGUGGUUUCAGGAAGUAAAAAAGGAUUUGUGUUUGGAGCAUUCAUAAUAUCCUUUCAACACCAAUUGCCCGCUAGGUUUUCAUAUAUGAACAAACUUCCUUUGGCUGUUCUGGCCAGUCUACAAUCAAAUACCCCAAGAAGGAUACCAUCUCAUAGCCAGCUCGUGGAGACAUUUCUAUCAGAUGAUGAGGCCUAAAAUAUAUCUUUUAGCCUUAUAAUUUGAGAAAACCUUUCUUCACUGUACAGGUCAUGAAGACACAUAAUAAGGAAGCAAAAACUAACUUGUAACAUAACAAAGGCAUAAAAAAAAUAAAAUCCAUUUUACUUUGUACCUAAUAUAUUGGAGAAUAACUUACCAACAUCCAAGCUGUCUAAAUUAUUUAGUGAAGCUCAUUCUCAUUGCUAGGUAAACAUGAGGAACCAAACAGCCAAUGCUUUUCGUGUUCUUUUUCAUUAAGUCAUGAAACUAUCACUUUGCACUUUCUACAUAAAGCCGCUUGGAUGACAAGCUAUUAACAUGAUUACAAAAUGGAGAACCUAGAUGUAGCUCAAUUUAGAACUGAACUGACAAGCCAAAAUUUCUCUUUGCAAACAAGAAGCCUACUCCCUUGACGCCACUUGCGGGCAUCACAUUCCAGAAGUACCUCAUCAACAGGCCGGUGAAGGAGAAGAGAUGGCGCUCCUUUGAACCCUGCGAGAAUGUUGGCGUUGCUUUGGCUGAAGAGAUCUAGCAACUUCGGGAUGCUCUCAGUGUCGCUACACAGGGCCUCCAGUGGCUCCUGUACAGUGGGUGCGCAGCAACUCGGACCAGCGACUCCAGUGCUCCCCAUUCAAGACGAUGAAGAUUUGUGGAGUAAUUGAAAAACACAGAGUCCCUCUUCAGAUUGACGAACAAAGAGAGGGAAGAAGUGACCCAGUUUACCAUCGGUCAAGCCAACAAUGGAAGGUGGCACGAAGAGCGGCAGGGCAGAAUUACAGCGUCGGUGUUCUUUGCUGUCAUCAACUGCGUCAAGCCCGAGCACCUGGUGAAGGACAUUUUGUACCCGAGUCCAGAUGCCUCAAGUGAGGCCAUGUGCAAUUGGAGGACACAUGAGGGCACCGCCGUUGCUGCCUACACAUCACUUAUAGCAGCAUUCGACACUCCUGUCGAGAUCCUCGAGACUGGGCUGCACAUUCGCCCAAAGUGCAGCUUCAUCGCUGCAUCGCCAGACCGCAUCAUGGUAAAGGAGGACAAUGAAGGGGGUCUUUUGGAGGUGAAGUGUCCAUCGUAGAAGAUUGGCUAACACCAAUAAAGGACUUUAAGGACAAAAAGUUUUGCUGCAAGGUCGUGGAUGGUUUGGUACGCCUUAAGAAAACUCACACCUACUUCUACCAGGUGCAAGGGCAGAUGGCGGUGACCGGACACGAGUGGUGCGAUUUUGUUCUCUGGACGAAUAACAAGACUGUUGCCAACUCAACACGCAUUGAGACCAUCACCUUCGACAAGGAGUUUGUUGAUCGAGUGCUGCUGCCAGAGCUCAUCUAUUUCGCCAAGCAUGCCCUCCUCCCGAAAGUAGCAACCGGUCAUGUAAGGCACUGAAGAGCCCUCAUAGCUCGCAGCAAGUAUGUCUCCUUCAAGCAGUACUGCACAGGGUUUUAUGUGGUGGAGGACGGUCCCAGACUGAAAACAAAACUGCGUAGGCUGGAGUAAAGAAACACCUGCAUGAAGCCUCAGGCUUCUCCAAGUGACAACGGCUCUUUUCAGAGCCAAAUAAACAUGCUUAUUGAGAGCCACGUUUUUGUAGAGAUUCCCGUGUCUUGGAAAAUGGUAUUUACUCGAGAAAAACAAAACACAGCGUGUGGUAGUUAAGUUUGUAAAGUUUAUUACGAUAAAAAGAAAGCCCCCCUUGCCUAUAACUCCACCAAAUAAGUCCGUCAAAAAUUACCGUGGUCCAUUUCACCAACAGCAAAAAGAGUGACAUUCCUGUCUACACACUGGCCAGUCCCCCACUUGCUGUCUUGAAUUCAGUCAAUAUUCUGGGUGUCACACUCGCAAGCAAUCUGGACUUUUCUGCCCAUAUUUUGAGUGUCGUCUCCAGGAUCUGACGGACGCUGGGUAUAAAGCACGUGGCCAAAUUAUGCAGGCCAAUAGUGCUGCGGAUGCUUUACACAGCACUUGUGCUCCCCACUAUGGCAAUCCUCGGCAAUCUAGUCCCCAGACCAACAGCGCCACUGCGAGUGCCUCGAGAGUGUGCAGCACUGUGCUACGUGCAUCAUCUCUGGCCAGUCAUCCAUCACCUUCGCCAGCUCGUAUGGCACACGUCUCGGAGCCCUUAGUGGUGACCCUUGUUGAGAGGCUACGUACGUCGCGGGUAUGCAGGCCUUGUCGGGUGUUCGAUGGGCCGCCUUCGGGAACCCCCUUGUCUUCUGCAGUGCGGGCGAGUAAAACUGGGCAACCCGAGUAGCUCCGCGGCAGAACCAUCCGCCAUAGUGAACCCAUGAAGCUGACAGAGACUUCCUAACUAUUCUCUUACCCACCUCAAGCCCCCUGCCAACUUCAAACAAGGAGUCUCAAGAACUUUGCGUUUUCUUUUCCCUUUGAGUGGCAUCGAGAUCCUCUUGUGUUCUUUUGCUCUUGCUUCUCUCGUGUGUGAUCUUUUUUUCGUCAAUAGUGUAUGUGGCAGUUGACUAGCAGGCGCAUAUGCAUAAGGGUUGUAUCCUUUCUGCUUAGCCACGUACAUUGCCAUCUGUGGAAAUCAAUUAUAAUUACAAUUACAAUAAAGUUUUGCUCUGGCAUCACCACAGCAAAACUUUGGGUGGGCGUUCUUUCGUAACUUUAUGGUAAAAUUAUAAAAUAUUUGUUUUAUUGAAUUAUUCAAAGAUGUGUGAAUGUUUUUAAAGCAAAAAUUGAAAGAACUUUGUGCAAAAGUUAUUACGUGGCAAUUUGUGAAAAAGGUAAAAAACCACGGAAGCAUAUUACUAAAUGCACACCCAUGCAGUGGAAUAUGCUGUCAACUAGCGGCAUUGGACAGAAGUCGAGCUUGGGUCAUUAAUACCAAACUUGACGUCACCUUCGACGCAAAGCAAGAGCGCAGCUACGUGACUGCAGGCCUCGCUGAGCCUGUAGGCACAAAAUGAUUUUAAAUGGGAGGGGCCGUGUUGCUGCGAUCAGAAAGCAAUCAAAAUGAAAGGAAAAAACAAGCUACUCACUCUGCCAUGCAAGUGCUGUGGACACUUAGGACUGUGCCCUCUUUUUUGACCAUGGCCCAAGGCUGGUGGUACCCUCCGAAGGUUUGACUAGCUUCCACUUUCAUGGUGACGAGAAUGAUGCCUGUGCUCCCUGUCGUAGCCCCAAAUAAGCAAACAGCAUGAACCCUACCACUCAAAAACAGGUUGCAACUGUCUUCAAGCAUGUAACUCUUGAAGACGGUUGCAAUCUAUAUCUACAUGUAACUCUUGAAGGCAGUUGCAUCUAUAUCUACCUCGUGGAGGGGUCCAAGCAUGGACCCCUCCACAAGGUAGAUAUAGAUGUUGCCAAUUUCUAGUCCCGGCCACUGGCGAGCAUCUAUGGUGAAGACGUGUUUCUGAAUAGCAGCAUCUAAUGGAUCUCGAAGCUCCUGGCCUGCGAUUGUCAGCUUUUGCCGGUAGCAUUUGUCGCCGGUUCUUUCAACUAGGUAAGAAGAGGACAUUUUGUUGGAGUAAAGUCGUGAAAUUCUGAUUGAUACGUCGCUUGUACAACACGGUAAAACAGUAACGACCGAGCAAUUCACACGCCUCGUUGCGAAGAUGGUAGUGUUUUCAACGUGCCAGCAGGGCCAGAAAUAUUGAACCAGAUGUCAUGAGAGGUCUGUCAACAGGAAGCCAGAGGUUGAUUGCACAACUGUUUUGUUUCCUGUCCUUGUAGUUUGGCAGAAAUACUUGUUACGAAUUGGUGACACGACAGGAUGCUAUAAAUCAAUAUUAAAACCUGUUUUGUUUGCUUGAUCUCAAGAGUGAAUUUUAAAACACGCGCUCUUAGGCACCCGUUUCCGGGUUGAGCAGCGUCGCAGUCAGCGUCGACGUAACCGUGCAUUGCAUUAUAGGACGUUCCCCGCUAAAGGUAGCAAGGAAAUUUUUUCUGCUGAAUUUAGAAGGAAAAUUUUACUACUAAAUUUAGAGGGAAAAAUUUUCCGCUUAAAAUUUAGCGGGAAAGUUUUCCCACUAAAUGCAGCAGGAAAAUUUUUUCCUAAAUUUAGCAAGGUAAUUUCUCCACUAAAUUUAGUGGGGAAAAUUUCCCACUAAAUUUAGCAGGCAAAUUUUCCCACUAAAUUUAGCAGGCAAAUUUUCUUGCUAAAUUUAGUAGGGAAAUUUUUCUGCUGAAUUCAGUGGGGAAAUUUUGCCACCAAAUUUAGUGGGAAAAUUUUCGCGCUGCUAAAUUUAGCGGGGAAAUUAACGUCACAUGACCUCCAAGGCCAAUUCAAUUUCCCCGAUAAAUUUCCUGCUAAAUUUAGCGUUAAAAUUUUCGAUAAAUUUCCUGCUAAACUAAGUGGGAAUAUUUCUCUGCUAAAUUUAUUGGGAAAAUUUUCGCUAAAUUUGGAGGGAAAUUAAACGAAAAUUUCACGCUAAAUGGGAGAGCAGGAGAGGAGAAAGGGAGGGUAUGGAGGUGGAGGAGAGCAUACCUUCCCCUCCUCCUCCUCAAUAGCUGCGCUCUAAUUCGGCAUUAUAGAGAACUGUAAACGUCUUUCAUGUUUUGUAAACUAUUGCUGGCAUUGUGCUGAGGCUUGAGCCAUAAGGACCUGGAGGUAGCCAUGUCAUCAAAGAUUGGGAUUCGGGUGAUUCAGAAACCAUGCGAACCACAGCACAAGUGGCCCAGGGCACCAGCACAACUGGCUGAAUAAACAGCUCAGCCUUCAAAAAGAUUGCAGUGCUGUUCUUGCAAGAUGCUGCAUUCAAAGAAAUUUAUUUGGCAUUUAAAUUCGGUAAAGCAGGCAUGAGUAGACUGGGAUUGCACCAGGACACACUGGACUGGGAUUUUAUGGCCAUCUUUCAGGCACAAUGCCGACGCUGCCCUUUCGUGUAAUGGGAUCGACAUAUAAGGCUUUCGCCUUGAUCAAAUUCCUAAACUUUGCCUAGUCCCAGACUGCCGCACUUUGCUGCCGUGGCCGAGCAAUCACCCAGAACGAGCCGCAGACUUGAUUAUAAGUCGACCCCCCCCCCCCCACAUUGCAUAUCAGCAAAAAAAAAAAAUAAUCUUUAGAUGCGCAUGUGGCGGCCUCCGCCAUAUAUUUUAUCUCAGACGUCAAGGCGCUCCGUCUCCGCCAUAUGUUAAUCUCGGACGUCGAGGCACCCUAGCGCGCUCCAUCUGGUUCUCCGGUGCGCAUUCGAGUAAACACUUCGGCGCACCGGCCGGGCUCAAGGGUCAGGUUUCUUCCCUCCGUGCGCAGUCGGCACAGUUGUCUUCAGACGGAUAAUAAAACCACAGAACCAAUUUGUACAAUCACGGAGUCGGACGUUUUUUCCUUCGCGUCCUCAAAAUCUCGGAACACAUCCCUACAAAUUGGUGACCCCAGAUGAGCGACUCCUUCAUGGUUCCCGGCAAUUUUCCAACCAUUUCCGAAAGCAAACAGUCUGCUGCUGGGGACACCAUUCCGACGGGAUCUUUAGCGGCAAUUCGAAUCAAGCUGCCUCCAUUUCAGACGAAGAACGCCAAGGUAUGGUUUGCGCAGGUUGAGGCGCAAUUUCUGCUGCAUCGCAUCACCUCGCAAGCGACUAAAUAUCUUCACGUCGUCUCCUCGCUGCCAGCUGAAGUCGCCGAUGAACUAGAGGACAUCCUCGCGGCGGCGCCGACAUCCAACCAGUAUGACAACCUCAAGGCCGCUAUCCUCGCCCGGAAGACCACGUCGGAGCGCAGCUGCCUCCAGCAUCUCCUCAACAUGAAGGAGCUUGGUAACCAGCGUCCCUCCCGGCUACUGCGCCGGAUGCGACAACUUCUGGGCGACGCCACUUCGAAUGCUGAAACAUCGCUCCUCCGUGAGCUAUUUCUGCAGCGCUUGCCCCACAACAUGGUCGUCGUGCUCGCAGCAAGUGAGGACAUGCCCCUGGAGCGCCUGGCUGAUCUGGCGGAUCGUGUUGCAGAAUACUCCACACCCCCGGUUGUCGCCGCGGCCAGCUUUCAAUCACGAGCAUCGGAUCCCGCAGCAGCCGCACCUUCCCAGGAUAUAGCGGCUCGACUCAGCCGCUUGGAAAAGACCAUCCAAGACCUGCAACUGCCAGCCUUCAGCGGCCUACGGGGUGACUCUUACAAGAAGUGCCGCCACCCCACGAGAGUCGGGCGCGCCGUGCGCUGUUCACCGCCGUACAUUCGGGUUAAUUUGUGAAUCGCUAUUAUUAAUGCUCGUUUGCACAAAUAAAAAAUAAUUAAUUUGUAAAAUGAGUGCACAAAAUAGCACAGUGCUAGGGGUACGCCGAGCUGCUCAUGACAUUGCGGUUGUUUCGUUUUUGCCGGCGGUGGAAGGCUUUGGUUCGAUUACAAGUCGACCCCCCACUUCAGAUUUUUAAAAAUUGAAAAAAUGGUCAACCUACAUUCCUGUAAAUACGGUAGUCAUAACAGGUACGCAAUCUGUGUGUCAUAUGUUUGCAUUUGUCCUCCUUUAAAGACAUCAAAGGAAGCUGGAAAUUCCUCAAAAGACUGAGACAUCUAUUGACAUUUUUUUACAGUAAAUCCAAACAGAAAACUUAAUUGAACAUGACAUAGGCACCGAGACGGCCAGAAAAAAUGACACAAAGGCAAAAGCGACACUAAAAGGUAUCAACGUUUUAGUGUUUGUGCUGUUUUUGCCUGCAGUCUAAGAGUUAAGGUGAUGCUCAAUCUAAACCAGCUCGUUCGCGCCCUUACAUUCACUUGAUAAAACCUAUUUGUGUCAGAAAUGUUGCUAAAACCGCAAAAGAAAGAAAGUUAAGAGAGAUGUGAUAUCAACUCUGGCCUCUGUCGCUUGAAGACAACCCGUUCCAUCAAAGAAGCUGUGAACGAUGUAGUCUGCAUUUUUAAAACCACUGUGUUCAGAGUACUCACAGUAGAAUCUCUUUAGUACCACGCAUCAGAAUGCUUGAUAUUUGUAGUGUCUUCUGUAAUUUUACUAAGCUUGGACUUCUCUUAACCGUAGGGAGGUCACAGAACUUGCUGCCAAUAGGGAGAAGACCGAGGGGCGGCCUAGGUUAUGUCACCCCUUAUAAAGAGUGGGUACUAUCCCGAGUAUAACACACUUCAUCUUCGAAACCCUUGCAGAGAGGAAGACAUACACAUGCAUAUAGGCAAACCCACCCAAAGCAUGAACAGGAUAAUACUGCCAUCUGAAUGCCUUCUUCAGGCUCAAGGGUCUUGCAACUCUUUAAGAGCCCAAAAUCCACUCUGUUAAGGAGAUAGGCAGUAGCUUAUAUGUCAGUUUAAAGACCGCCGCAUCUUCAUUCCACGCUCGCUGCAACACGAGAUACUUGCAAUGGGAAGGAGCUGAGCUCCUUUCCAUUGCAUCCAGCGAUCGGAUGCCUUUUCUCCUUUCUCUCCUCACCCUUUUCUGUAAGUUCAGCUGGUUUCCACAAUCUAGGUAAGACAUGAGAUACUGCAGCUGAUACAUGAAGGCAAUCAGGGCAUCGGACGCUGCAAGGCAAGAGCAAGGGACGCUGUUUGGUGGCCUACUCUAAACAGCGAAAUGGAGCAACUUGUGACAGCCUGCGAGCGGUGCGCCCAAACAAGAGUACAGCGCUCCUAGCCCCUCAUCAGCACACCGACUCCCAGUCGUCUCUGGCAGAGACUCGGUGCGGAUCUGUCCGAGCUCAAGGGGAAAAACCAAGUGCUUGUCGUGAACUAUUACUCCCGCUUCCCAGAGGUCAUCAGCCUGACAUUGACGACGUCAACGUCCGUCAUCGCAGCAGUCAAGAGUACAUUCGCCCGGUUUGGGAUCCCCGACGUGCUGGUAUCGGACAAUGGGCCGCAGUUCUCUUCGAGACAAUUCGCCGAGUUCGCCCAGAGCUACGGUUUCCAGCACGUCACGAGCAGCCCACGCUACCCACAGGCGAAUGGGGAAGCGGAGCGUAUGGUGCGGACAAUAAAAGAGCUGUUCUACAAGUCAAGAGACCCGCACAUGGCCCUCCUGGUGUAUCGAGACACCCCUGGAAUGACCGGUUAAAGCCUGUCCCAACCAUACCUCGGCAAAUUCAUUCAUGAACUCGCUCAUUCACCUUGAUUCACAUUCACGGCGUGAAUCUGAAUU